rnacentral:rRNA from 1 species
UAAGGUGGCUAUAGCGAUGGGGCUCACCUCUUACCAUUCCGAACAGAGAAGUUAAGCCCAUCUGCGCAGAUGGUACUGCUAUACCAAGUGGGAGAGUAUGUCGCUGCCUUUU